AUCUAGCACUGUGAACCUGCAGAGACAUAGGCAUGGGAGAGUACAGUGUGCACAUAUUUCUUAUGUUUUGAUAGAGGUUUUUCCUUUCACACACACACAAAAAGGCAGUGACACAUCUGAGGCAGUCUAUAUUUUGUUGUGAUUCAUAAGAACUUCUUGUAGACCAGAACAACAUUCUGCUUGCAUCUUUUCAGGGAUGUCAGCUCUGACUGUGGAUGGGCACAGUACCAUGAUGAUACUGUUGGUCCCUGAGAUGUGAGAGAGCCUUUAGGCAAAAAGAAACAGGCUGAAUACAAGUCUGCUGCAGUAGUUAAUUCUCGAAUGCAAUGAGCAAGUGGCAGAGAAGAAGGAGUAACUGCUGAAAGAGUCCUUUGCUCUUGGUGUGCUGUAAAGGAGAACAAGAAAGUGACUUAUUAGUGCUAUGUUCUGAGGAUUGCCCAAACAGUGAAGCUGCAAGUUGUGGCCCUGAACAUGACUGGGACAUUUUCUGCUGAAUGUAAGAGCAGACCAAGAUGAGACUUCUUCCUGAGCCUGCUUUGGAUGUGUAGGCUUUGCUAGAGAAGCAGCAUGAGCAUCAGAAUGAGCAUUAACAAGUCAGUGAGAACAGCAGUUUAACGUGAGGACAACAUAGGAUCACUGUGUUGCAAAGGGCUUACCUAUAUUCCAUACAAUGCAGUUGAUGAUGGGCCUGCAAAGUAUUGGCUCACUCAGUGUACUGUAUAUUGCUUCAUUUUUCAUUAGUGAAGCAGUGCAGGGAGAAGGAAUGCAAGUAGAUAUGUAUUGUAAGGAUUGUGAAACACAGUAAGUAUUUUUGAGGGCAAUGUUAUUAAUCUUCCUUAAUAUUCCUCCCUCCCAUUAUUUAUCAAGAUUUAUUAAUAAUUUACCUGUGCUACAGAUUGUAAUAUGGUGGGAUGUUUCACACAUGACAAAGCAUGAAGAUGAAUUGUCCUGGAUUAAACUGUCUGUUGAUUCAUUGUCUUGGUAUUUGGAGAAUAAUGCAACUAUCCGCCGUUGCUAACCAUCUUAAGUAUGUUUGGACAUAGUGAGUUGUGUUGUCUUCCUCUGCCCAGGUAACCAUUAAUUUAUGUUCUCAUAGCUGCUAGUAAAUGCACUUUCGAAUUUCUGGAAGUUUAUGUGGAUCGAGGCUGGCAAGGCGAGGUUUAGUGCACUACUCUGUCCUAGAAGUCAAAGCUUGUCUAGGCUUCAAGCACACCAGUGAUUUCUGCACUCAUAUUUGUGGUUCUCUGUCCAUGCUUCAUCAAAAUGCCUGCAAUGAUCCUAUGUUCUCAAAUGGCACAUGCACCAUCAUUAUUCCUGGCAAGAGAUAUAGCCCAGCCUGUGCAUAGCUCUCUACUAGCUGAUACAGGAAGUGGACAUGAAAGAAGCAGAUAGGAAAGGCUGUGGAUGCCCCAUCCACAGUAGGCUUGUCUGGGCUAUCUGAGUUGAUGCAGAGGCAAGAUUAGGCAGCGUAGAUCUUUUCCACUUUGACUUACUAACUUUGGUGUAAAGUAUAUGCAGACAUUAGCUUGUAUGUAUGCCCUCUCACACACUGUAAAUUAACUGAGAAAUUAAUGAGGUGAUGCACUUAUGAGUAAGAAGUGAAAUGAAGAAAAAAUGACACUUUGUGUUGAAAGGCAUGGAUAAAGAUAAAACUCAGAUACGAGAAAGAGGAACUUUGUAUAACUGAUUUGAAGAGGAACAUGUAUCAUUAAAUCCUUGAACAAUAUAAUUUAGGGAAUAAUGUUUUGCAUACAUGUUUGAAGUGGACAUUUUUUUAAAGUUUCACAGUUUCCAACUUUGGAUGGAGGAUGCACAGUAGUAAUUUUAAAAAUACUGAAUGAUAAGAAUCACACUCAGAAAUUCUUACUAAAAUUACUCAUUGCCCUGGAGUUAAAAUGGAAAUAACAAACAUAUCUUUCAUCACUCAUUUUGAAUAUUUAUUCUUUGUAUUUCACUUACUCUAAACAAUUUUUUUAUCUCUAGGCUGAUAUCCUGACUAAUCCUUCACUGUGCUAAUUUUGCUGGGACAACACAUAAGUGGCUGGUGAUUCCAAAUAUGAGUAAGGACAGCAGGCUUGGGCUUGUGCUAAUUUUGAUGAGUAAAUUGGCCUCAAGAAUGACAAAUCGUGUUAGCACUUUUUACUUUAUAACAUUAGACAGUCAAAAGUGUUAACUCUGUGCAUUGAAUCCGCAUUAGGCAGUGCUUGGGACUGGUUACAGGGAACUCUUAGGUGCCUGGUCUCCACAGAAACUCACUCUUAAAAACCAUUCUCUGGUUUUAUUUUAGUAAAAGAAUGGUGCAAUUGAAAAGCAAAGUGUUGAGAGGAAUUUUACUCACAGCAAAAUGUCCUUCCUUUCAUUUUACCCACUGAGUUUUUAAUAAGGAUAUUCCUUUGCCAGUUCCUUUGAAUUUUCUUGGUUCUUAGUUGGUGCUAAUGAUGCAGUAAUAGUCCUCUGUGUGUGUGGUGGGGGGAAGGAAAAUAGUAUCCCACUGGUAUGAGAUUUUUUGUAGUUGUCUUUUGUGGUCUUACAACAGUGUUACAAAAGAUGGACUCUCAAUUGAUUUCUUGUCUCUUAUUUCUUUUAUUCAUAAAUUUAUUUUGCCUUUGGGGUGUGUGUGUGGGGCAACCAAUUGUCAGGAAACAGCCACAAGGGAAGAGAUAGAUAUUAGAAAUUUAGUUCUAACAUUCUAAGUAUAAUAGUUAAUAGUAUUAGUUGGUUACUUCUCUGUCUUGAUCUGUUCAGGGCUGUUUCUGGAUGAGAGGCUUUCAGUUCUUCCUGUGGAUUGUGAGGUUCUAAGAAAAGGGGUGAUAACAGCCAAAAUGGGAUAGAUGUUACUGUCAUUUUUUAUUUCAUUAGCCUUAUGAAAUUUAUUCUAAUUAAUUCACUGAAUUAGAGUGUCCUGAAAUGGAAUAAUAAGUAGAAUGUCACAUUUUCUUGCCACUUUGUUGAUUUUUCUAUACUUUUUUUUUUUAUUAUGUAUUUCUCACCUACUAAGUGUAGACAUUGUUUGAAUCCAGAGAAGCUGUGGCUGCCCCAUUCCUGGAAGUGUUCAGUGCUAGGUCAGAUGGGUCUUUGAGCAACCUGGUCUACUGGAAGGUGUCCCUGGUCCUGGCAAGGGGAUUAGAACUAGGCACUUCUUUAAGGUCUUUUCCAACCCAAACCAUUCUAUGGGUCUAAUCUUAUCUUCAUCCUUUGCUUUUGUAUGUUAGGCUGGUUGGUGUUUUGUAACUUAGGACUCAUACAUUAAGUUAUCCUAUUUAACAAGUCCUUGUUUUGUAUUUGUUUUAGCUCCUUGGCUUUUGAACAGUCCUCCUAACAGGACUGCUAUGGAAAACUUGAAACAUUUUACUGCUGUGUAAAGUUUUUUAUUUGUGUUUGGAUGGAUGUAGGUGCUAGGUUUAAAUCUGCAGGUUAACAAAUAAGACCUUGCUUGACCCAUGACAUUUCCUGCAUGAAUUUUUGAUAAAAAAAAACUAAGCUUUUUUAAUUUUUGUCUUAAAUUUCCAGGAAAAGCUACAUGCUUUAGCAGAAUUCCAGAGACUGGAUGGCUUUGUCUGAAAACUGCAACUUGCUGUUUUGAAAAGUGUUACUGUAGUAUUCCUCUGACAUUAUAAUUUGGAUGCCUGCUGGUCCUAUUCUGCAAGGCUGAAGCUGCCUACCACCUUUGACGCUGUGCCGUGAUCUUUCCUCUUUGAAGGGAGUGCUGGAAGUAGGGAAUACCUCAAAGUUAUCUGUUAUCAGCGUUGUCACUUAAAUAGAAGUGAGAAGCGAGUUGAGUUUCCAGAUCUGUCCACUCCAGAAACUGGAAGAACUGUGAGAAGUAAUUGGGUGUGAAAUAAAUAUGUGUUCACAAGUAA